rnacentral:lncRNA from 1 species
GUCUUCACAGUCUGAAUCAGACAAAUGGGCAGCACGCUAAACUGCUUGCAAACGAGGGUGCAAGAUUUUAAUCAUGAGGCUUGCUUCAUCAUGAGCCCUCCCUGUACAACAGCCUCACGGAACCCUUCUGCAUCUGUGGGAAAGGACAACAAUCCACAGGUUAGAACUCAUAAAUAUGGGCACAUUUUUAUCUUAGUUUGCUUUUGAAUCUUCUUGCAUCUGGAACUUUUCUUUUCUCUUCUUUCCACAGCGGGUGAAAGGCCUUACCCUUUCUUGACCUUGCAGCAGAGGGCGACAGUCUGCAUUUUGAGUGGACAGCCCACUUUCUCUCUGCUGGUACAUGGUAAGACACUGAGGCACGACCCCCCCUAGUUUCACCCAGUGCAGUGUUAAGGCCUGUUCCUUAUCCUGGUGACUGGGACAAAUGCUUACAGGUUCUCACUGCUGCCUGAUUGGUCCAACUGUCGUCUCAGUCAGCUACUGUAUCUAAGAGAGACCUGGCCAAACCCACCUUUCCAAUUCACCUCCACCUUUUUUCCCCCCAAUAUUUUUUCUCUUUCUACUGAUGGCUGGAUCACAACAAAGAGUCCUCUUCAACAUAGCUGUCCAGGAUUGUGGCCCUUUUGCAGGCUGACAAAGGAAUCGACUGUUCAUUCUAAUAAUAAUAAUAAUAAUAAU